GGAGCACUUGAAAAUGCAUAACUUUAGCCAAUAGAAGUCAGGUUGGAUGCCAUAUUAAUUUAACGCAGAUGAAAAUGCACUAUCUAAUUUUCUUAACUCACAACCUUUAAAACUUUUUUUUUUUUUUUGAUGGAGGUUUAAAAUUUAUUUGUACGAUAUUAUUUUUAAAACAACUCUCUCUCGUAGUCUGACAUAAUUGCGAGAUGUAGUUAAACACAAAAUACAGCACAUAGCCUAUCAUCACAACACGAUCAAUACACAAUGAGCAAUAAUCAUCUGAGAGGAAACACUCUACAGCUGCGACCAGGGCCCCUCUGAGAUGGUGUUGUGUUCGAUGUGGACGGCCCAUUUGCUUCUUCGUAGGUAACUCACUAUAAAUUCCUAAAAAUAACUCACUAUAAAUUCCUAAAAAUACUUCUCAUUAUAAAGCAAUUUAUUAGUAAAGCAACCUUGUAAAAAAAAAAAAAAAAACUAUAAUAAUAAUAAUACAAUAACAAUGGAAUAAUAACAAU
rnacentral:lncRNA from 1 species